rnacentral:lncRNA from 1 species
CAAAAUAAUAAUUCUUCCAUGGUAUCCUCACUUUCUAAAAAUCAUAUACCUGGUUUGGACCUAAUUACUAAUACUGAAUGCAAUACCAAAGGAUUUCUGAAUGUCUCAAAGAUUAUACCACAAAAUCAAACCGAACCGAUUCAAACACCUGACGACAAGCCAUUUAAUUUUCCCAAAAGCAAUACAACCUCUGCAAUUAUAAACCAACAACCAGUUAGUAUGCCUCUUAACAAUAUCCACCAAUCAACUACAUCCAUGUUUCAGAAUUCUUAUAGUUGGUCAAAGUUUAACAAUCCUGUAUCCUAUUAUGAUAAAAAUCCAGUGGAUGUGAAUGAUGCACCAUCAUCUAGAUUUGGUCAACAAAAUGAUAUUAAUGCUCGACCACCAUAUGAUGAAGAAAUAUCUAAUACUUCUUACAAUAGUUCUCAAAAUGCUACUAAUAAUAUGAACUAUAGAAGACCACUAGAAGGAUCAUAUAUUAAUAAACUGAUAAACGAAAGUAGUAGUACAAUGUACAAUAAGGGUCCAGAUGACCAACUUUAUAAUAGAAAUUUUAAUACACAAACUAGUAAUUUUCGAGGUUAUCAACCAAAUAUUUCCAAUAAUAAUAAUUUCAACAGAUCACCGGAAAACAUUCCAUAUCAACAUCAAAAACCAUUGAAUCUAACACAUUCGAAACCGCCUUCUUUGUUGAGUUUAAAUGUGGUUAAACCAAUUACACUAGGUAAGAAUUUAAAAUUACACUGUUUACAAAAUAUUUAUUUUUUAUAUUUCUGAACAUCAGAAUUUAUAAUAAAUUAUUAUUUAUUCUCAUAUAUUUUACCGACUGGUAUUAUUUUUGGUAUAUUAUUAUGAUUUUAUUUACCUGUUAGCAGAAAUUUUGACAAUUUAGAAAAUAAUAUCACUUUUGUAGUUUCUUGGGCAAUUACCCAAUAUAAUACUAAAGAACAUGGAGUUUACUUUGUGCAAAUAAUAUAGUAUUAUACUAAUUUACUAUUCUGUAUUAAUACAAAUACACGCCUUGUCCUAAUAUUAUCAAUCAUUAUUUUGUUACCGUAUUAUGUAUUGUCAAUUUUGCCAGUAACAUACCUACAACAUGACAUUUUAAAUUCCAUUAAUUUCAUAUUUUAGGUUCUGAUGGGAGCGAGGAAUAUAUAGGUUUUAUAGUGAUGUUUAUUUUAUUUUUGUAUUUUUUUCUGUGAAUAACUUAUCUACCAACAAUUUUAAGGGAGAUCAUUUUUUGAUUUUCCUAGGAGUUUUCAUAAUAAAUAGGAAAUACGGGAAAAUAUACAAAAUGUAUUAUUUUUAAAUUGUAAACUUUACAGCCUUUUAAAACAUCUAUAACCAAACUUCGCUCAGAAUUGUUUUUCGUAAACAAAUAUUAAUUAUUGCGUACAGAUAUAAAUUAAAUUCCCCUCAAUAUCCUACCUUCCCAACUUCUCACCUACAACAGUGACCCUCUCAUUGUAUGAAGAAUAUCCGUCAUUUUAAAUAUAAUUAUAUACAUUUACUUUUUAUUGUUUUAGAUAAACCUGGAAAUUACUUGGAAAAUAAGAACGAUUUACCAAAUAGGUAAUAAUUUUUAAUAGAUGUUUAAUAUGAGUUGGCGAUUAUUUGUAUUUUUCUAAAUUAUUAGGUAUGAAAGAAAUUGGAAUAUUGCUGAUGAUGAAGAAGAUCCGGAAAAUGAAUACAUGGAAGCACAUAAAAAAUUUAGUUCUGAACCAUUUGAUGAUCAAUAUGAUGAUCAAUUUUCAAACCAACAGCAUAGAAAUUCAUAUUAUGAUAAUGAUAAUUAUUCUAGAGGACAUCAGGGGCCUAGAGACUACAAUGAUGACUAUCCUAGAUCUUUGAAUCAAUCAAGUGGACCUCAAAUACCGAAGAAUAUGGACAUUGAAUACCCUAGACCGAAUUCUCAAUUCUCUAGAAAUGUUAACCAAAGUUACCCUCACGAUUUGCAAACACCAAAAAAGAAAGACAGUGAUUAUUAUAAAUCUACAAAUAAUAUUAAAAGUAUAGAUCAAGGAUUUUCCAGGGAAGUGCCUAAUUUAAGAGAUGUCAAUGGUGAGUAUUCUAAUGAAUCCACUGUUGAUAAAAACAAAUUUAUUUCACCAAAAGGGAACUAUGGACUUCCUCCAAGAAGAAAUUAUGAACCGUCUAGAAGUAAUUUUGGUAAUAAUUUAAAUAAGACAAAUAUAGAAUGGGAUAAUAAAGACUAUACACAAAAUGAGGCACCUCAACAGUCUGUAAAAGAUAUCAUAAUUCCACCUCUUGUUCAACAGCCAGCAAUUGAUUGCACACCAAUUGAUCCAGUAAAAAUAUUUGAUUAUCGUCAUUUACCCACAUUAAAAGUAAUUCCAGGUAAUAUUACAUUUGAAUUUUAUGAAAAAAUAAUUACUGUAAACUCUAAUUAUUUAAUAAUAACUUAGUAUUUAUAUUUAGGAAUAUCAAAAGAAACUGUGAUCCCAAUUAGAGUUUAUGAUUAUAAACAUGGAGGUAAACGUAUACUACCAUGGCAAGAUAGAGGUUUGUAUUAGAUUUUUAAUUCGCAGUAGGGCUGUUUAAAAUUAUUGUAAUAUGAGUAACAAUAUCCCUUGUGAUAAAAAAAAUUAUAAUUGUUUAAACUGACUAAGGAUCUAUAUUUUACUCAGGACCACAAUUUUGCUCAGUUUAACCUAGAUCAGGGAUCCACAACUAGAUGGGAGAAAUCUGAUGUGCACUUUGACAUCAUAGGCCAAAAUUGCUUAGGAAAACGUAGAUAGAUAAUUAGAUUUGGUUUUUCACUAUUAUUAGUUUUUGAGAACAAUACCUAAAUUAAACACCCUUCUAUUAUAUACUUUUUUCGUAAAAUUCAAUUUAAAACUAAUUUACUUUUAAAUUGUCAGUUAGUUUGGCCAUAAGAUGGAGACCCUUAAUCUAGGCAUGUCACUUCUGUAUUAUUAUUAUUAUUAUUAUUUGUUUUUAUAACAAUACUAUAGUGAACAAAAGUCAUUACAUUUAUUGUAAAUUAAAAAGAUUGGUGACAAUAUUCCAAAUUUGUUCAUAUUUUAUAACCACCUUAUGAUAUUACCACAAUUAUAACGAAUCGUUCGAUUUUCGAAAUGAAAAUUAUUUACUACUACUUCUGUGCAGUCACCAAUAUGAUUUUCUGUAGUAAAACAGAGCAACCUUGUUACAAAGAAGAAAAAUUCUCUGUCAUAAAUUCAUAAGUAAAAGGCAAAUUAUUUCAAAUACAUUUUUUAUAAAUUCUAUCAAUAUUUUAGAUUCUAGACUGGGUUUUAGGUUUAAAUUGAUUAAAAUAUACAGUUACUAAUUCCCUUAAAUUAAAAUGACAAAUGGUUUUAUUCAAAAUAAUAAAUUUGCUUUCGGUUAAUUAUAUGUACAGAUUGUUUCACAAAGAUUGUAAAAACUUUUAUUCUGUUCAAUAGUUUAACGAUUUUUCUUUUUUGUAUUAACUGACUAGAAUAUUUUUUUUUUUUUAAAAAAACACUUAAGAUAAAUUUAAACAUUUAUACUAAAAAAAUUGUUGAUUUAAGAAAUGUUUAUUGAUAAUGAGUUACAUUUUUUCCAUUUCAACUACCAAAUAAUUUCAUAUUUAAUGUUAAUGUAUAACUAUAAUAAAAUCCAAUUAUGAACCAAUGCAAUAACAAUAAUAGGUAAAGGUAAUAAAGAUGUAAUGUAGAAAAAUUAUUUUGGGUAAUUAGAUCUGGGCUAUUAUAAAGAAUGUAAUACCUCUUUAUUGAAUAUUUUUAAGUUUUUUUUUUUUUAAUGUUUAGAAAAACCUAACCUUUGAAAACUUCAACAAUUUUUAAAAAACUAAACGACUCAUCAUUAGUUAACAUUUGUAACAGUUAGACUUCUAACUCACUAGGCAGUCUGGCUGCAUCAGCCAUCCAUGGCCACUGAUAAGCAAUGGUUGAGUAUGCAAUAUGUGACUUGUAAUAAUUAGCCAGUUAGCUGCUGUGCAUUCGUGUACGUUCUGUUUGCUGCUACACCCACAAAUUAAUGGCUAUCUAGUGUGCAAGCUACAAUUAACCGCCAAAUGUCACAUUAGCUGUGUCAGCCAAGUUGCCUAGUGGUUUAGAAGCCUGCAAUUUUUUAAAAUAAAUGUAUUAAUUAACUAUUAUAUUUUGUAUAAAAAAGAAAUUAAAAAUAUUAAACAGAAUACAAGUUAGUGCAUUUGUUACAGUGAUAAUUGAUAUACUUAAAAUAAAAAAUAAUAUUUAAAUGAGUAGCCUGGUCACAAGAACCACUCUUUUAGGUUAGGACACCAUUUGAAAUGGGAUAAAUCAUUUGAAUAACCAUAUAAUAUAUCUAGGUUUGUUAAUUUAUACACAAAUUUCAGGUUUUAGUCGAAGAAAUUCAAAUCAUCCAAGAGAUUUAAAUGAAGAAGGUAAAUAAUUAUAACUAAAUGACAUUUAUAUACAAUGUGUAUUAUAUUUUAUAUAUGAGUUUAUUAUAUUUAAAAUGUAAAUGACUAUUAAAUUUAAUAAUAUUAUUUUCAAUUUUAAAUUGAAAUUAUGUAUAAUAAUAAUAUUUUUAAUUUUUUUUAAGACAACAUUAAUGAUCAAGAUAAAAAUAAAGAAACAUCAACUAAGAAGCCAACAUCAUUUGGGUCACAAGGUAGUUUAUUUUAAAUUAAAGUUGAGAAUAAAUAAAUUAUCAAGCAUAUAAUUAUUAUAUAAUAUUUAGAUAAUUCAUCAGACAUUAAAGAUUUUGAUUUUAAAAAUAAAGCCAAAGAAACUAAAAUGAUUGAAGAAACUACUAUUUUCGAAAUUAAAGAUGACAAAUUUAAAGAAGAUACAUCUAUUCCAGUAGACACUAUUACUAUUAUUGACGAUGAUGAUGUUGAAGAGGAGGAUGUGAUGAUUAUUGAUAAUUUAGAAAAAAGAGAAUUACUACAGUCUGGCAACAAAACAAAUAAUUCCCAUGUCCAUGUGCCAUCUCCACCUAAAAUGUUGCACAAUAUGGAAGUCGAAAAAUCACCUGCUAGAAAAUUGUUAUCUAUUGAUACAUUACUAAGUCCACCUGGUCGGCUUAAUAGACCGGCCAAAAUAGUUAUAAUAAUGAGAGGAUUACCUGGUUCAGGAAAAUCCUACGUUGCGAAGUUAAUCAAAGUUAGUAUAAUAUUAUACAUUUGUAUAUUAUAUUAUAUCAGUGCUUGAAUGAAUAUUGGUAAAAGUAACAAAUAUGUAUGUAUAAUAAGUGUAUGUUUCUGUAGACUUAUUUGAAUUAUUUAAACAAACUAGAUGAGAUAUGAAAUAGUUAAGAAAAAAAGGUAUUCAGUCUUCUCGCAUCUGUCAAUUCAAGUACUGAUUAAUAUUACAUUUUAUUGAGUUAUCUACAUUGUAAUAAAUUUCAUUAGGAGAAAGAAGUAGCAAUGGGUGGACAAGCUCCUAGAGUAUUAUCAUUAGAUGAUUAUUUUAUGACAGAAAUAACUAAGACUGAAAUUAAUCCUGAGACCAAUAAAACAGUGGAAAAAAAGGUAAUAUUGUUUAUAUUGUUAUUCUUGUUUAAACCCAUUAAUAUCUAAAAAAUAUUUAAUUUUCUUACAUUAUCUUACAGGCUAAUUAAAACAUGAAAUGUGGUUGUUAGGUCAAAUACACAUACAUGUUAAAAUUAAAUCAAAAUAAUGUAAUAUUUUUAAUUUUAAUAAUUUAUUUUUAUCUCAGUAAUAUUGUGAUAAAAUGGUUUUACAAUACAUAUUUUUAUAUCACUUGAAAGAUUGGGGUUUCCAUUGCAUUGCGACCCUAACUGUUUUGAUGUUUCCUUGUCAUUAUGUAAUUAUAGUGUCCUUUAUACUUUAACAAAGUCUGUUACUGGUGUAGGUUUUACCAAUAUUUUACUAAUUUUUUUUCUAUCUCGUUUGCCGAUUUCCCAUUGCUUUAUCUAUAGUAGUAGAUCCACAUAUUUUCCUCUAUGCUGUGUUCUCAAAAUGUAUCAAUCUUAAUUCUACUGUUUGGUUAUUGUUUAAGUGUCACGUCUAUGAAUGAAAGUUGUUUCUACUUUGUUUAUAGUUGUCCUAGAUUAGCGGGCAUAGGAUUAAGGAUCAUAAGGGCACCAGAUACACACACCAACAUAAUAUAGCAACCAAACAAACUCUCAUAUAUUUUAACAAUAAAUAAAUACAAUAACAAUUAUAAGUAUCUUAUUGAAACUAUCAAUGAGACCAGUGAUUUUCAACCUGGGGGUUAUGACCGACUAAGGGGUUGCGAAAAAUUAUGGUAUCAUGUAUACCAGCGUUUCCCAACCUUUUUCCCUCGCGGCACACUAAUCCCAACCCAUAUUUAGCCGCGGCACACUUGUCACUUAGUUAUUUAUGUAUACAAAUUUUUUUAUACUAGACUUUCAUCAUAUUAAUUAUUAAUACCAAAAUAGUUGUAUAUCAGUAUAAUAUUUCUAGCAAACAUUUUAAAAUGGUAGGAUAGAAAAAAAUAUUAUUACAAUUAUCCUAAAUAUUUAAUUUAUUGAAAUGGAAAAACAAGAUACAUUACAAUUUUUAUAAAAAACCUAAUCUUAGUGAGAAAUUUGGGACUGUUUUCUCUUCAUUAUUAGGUUCCUUCGUGGUCGAAUGGUUGAUAAGCACACCCUCAUGUCGUCUUCCAAGUUCUUCAGUUUUGAUGGCAUUCAUUGAAGAGAAUGCUCACUAUUCAUAGCAGAACACAUUGAUUAAAUAAUCUUGAUUUCAAAGGUUUACUUUUAAUGAAGUUUACCAUUUUGACAACAGUUUGCAAUACUUCAUUGAGCUCAGGCAUCAAAGAUUUAGCAACGAGAGCUUCUCUAUAUAUGAAGCAGUGAGUGAAAAUAAUAUCCAGGUUUUCUUUCUUAACUAAUGCCAAAAAACCUGUUAAAUGACCAAUCAUUGAAGGGCACCCAUCUGUACAAACACUCAAACAAAAUUUCCAUGAUAUAUUGGCAGUGGUAAAAUAAUUGUUAACCAAAUUAAAAAUAUCUUGUCCUUUUGUAGUUUCAGGAAGGUCUUUACAAAAUAAAAAUUGUUCUAUCAACUCAUUAUCGCAUAUAAAUUUUACGAAUGUCAUGACCUGAGGUUUUCCGGUUACAUCUGUAGACUCAUCUAAUUGAAGGGCAAACAAUUCAGCUGCUUUCAGUUUUUCAUUCACGNUCACCAAACAAAAUUUUAAAGAUUUCACAGCAUGCUGGUAAAAUGGUUGACUCGGCUGUUGUGUGAGAUUUCAUUUUUUUUGCUAUCAGUUCCACGACAGCAUAGCUAGCUUCCUGUGCCUUAUCUGAUACAGUUGAGUGUUUUAUAAACUUUAAAGCCUGUCUGUUUUGAUCUGAGGCUAACCUUUUGAAAAAAUCUAGAGGCUUUUCAGACGCAAAACCAUGUUUUGUAAGCAGGUGCCUUUUCAGCUUACUUGGUACAAUACUUUCAUUAGAUAAUUUUUCAAUACACAUGAGGCAUUGAGGUAUACUAGGUAUAGGCAUUUCUCCACCACUCGACGUGAAAUCAAAUGAUAAAAAGCUUUCGUGAUAUUGUCGAAUAUAAUUUUUUGAUCGUACGUUAGCAUUUUUACUCGCACUCACCUCAACAUUAGGAGGAUUGAAACUAGGACCAGGCAAUUCCUCAACAUCAACUCUAUGAGCACUAUUAGGAUCAGGCAAUUCUUCGCUUAAUUUACGUUUCCUAAUUAAAAAAUGAUCCAUCGUGCGCUACACGUAGUACGAAUGAUAAUCGUAAAGCGAAAAGAAAAAAUUUCCGUUAAAGUAUAACACGGUAAUAAUAAAUGUACUUCAUACGACGACAAACGACUAACUGACAUUUUAACAUUUUAAAUGAAUUAAUAAGAAAUAGUGAACAAUAAGAUAAGAUUCUCCCCGAUAAGAGAAUCGUUAAAACUAUUUUAACCAAUUACUGAAAUUUUACGGAAACUUUUAUUAAUAGUCAUGGCAUUUCGCGGCACACCGGUUGGGAAACCCUGAUGUAUACUGUACAUUAUAUUAUUCAAAUUCUGUUAAACAGUUUUUGAAGAGAUUAUCAAAGAUGUAAACAAAAAAAUUUGGGAUUCGUAAAAGUUUGAAAACUACUAGACUAGGCGUUAAUAUCUAAAUAUUCGAUUGUUUGGUUUUAAACCAGUCUAAAAGUAAAAACUUAUAGAUCUUGCUCAUCACUACUAUCAAGGUCAUGGGGUACUUGAGUCUGCAUCUGAUAUUCUGAUUCUUCAGCUUUCCUGUUCAGCAGUUUAUGCACCAGCCAACAUGGUACACUUGCAUGAAUUUGUGCACUGCUUCCCUCAUACUAUGCCAGAAGAAACACUACUUUAUUAUUGUACUUUACCUACUCUUGAUGGUUUCUUCAUGGUUGUGAAAUCUCCAUACUGAAGAGUUUACUUAUUUUCUCCAGUAUAUUCAGAUCAUUCUAUUGAUUGAAACCUUCAUAUAUCUGCCCGAAAAUGCAUUCUGUUGUCCUUGAAUGUCCUUGUAUAGAUAUGAUCCAAAACAAUUGUGGCCUUACAGUGCCAGAGUUAAAUGUUGGCUCCCCAGUUCAUAGCUUCAUCGAAAUAUUACUUAGUACUGUAUAAAUCUAAAUUUCUUACAGUGAACCACUUUAAUAUGUAAUCAUAUAAUGUCAUACAAUAUUAUAUAAAUUGUCUUGUCUAUAUAAUCAUUAAAUAAUAUUUUGUUUUACUUAGCAUUUUUAUUUAAAUAAAUGUAAUACUAUUAAAAAAUUUAAAGAUAAAAUAUUUGAUACCGAGGAAGAAGGACAUAGGUUAAUUUUAUACAGUUUUAAAUACAAGCAAAUUAAAUUUAAAGUAUAUACACUUAUGCUACUUAACCAAAAAAAAUUACAGAGGAAAAAUUGUCUGAAGUCCUUUUGCCCUAAAAAUGUAUUUAUUUUUUUUUUUCGUAACAUUAUUUUGUGUACUUUAUUGUUUAAGGUUAUGGAAUAUGAAUAUGAUUCUGCUAAUGAAAGUUUAUACCGUACAUCCUUUAUAAAAGCAUUUAAGAAAAAAGUGGUCGAAAAUUUUUUUUCAUUUUUUAUUAUUGAUGCUAUAAAUAAUAAAGUUACAUAUUAUAAAGAUAUACUUGAUAUUUCUAGAAUCAAUGGAUUUACUGUAAGUGUUAUUGAGUCUUUGUGCUAUAUUGUAUGUUUAAAUAUCUUGAUAUAUAUA